rnacentral:rRNA from 1 species
AGAAUCAACGCUGGCGGCGUGCCUAACACAUGCAAGUCGAACGAGAAAGGGGAGCAAUCCCUGAGUAAAGUGGCGACCGGGUGAGUAACACGUGACUAACCUACCCUCGAGUGUGGAAUAACAUCGGGAAACCGAUGCUAAUACCGCAUAACAUCGGCGCUUUUAAGAGAUGCCGAUCAAAGGAGCAAUCCGCUUGAGGAGGGGGUCGCGGCUGAUUAGCUAGUUGGCGGGUAACGGCCCACCAAGGCGAAGAUCGGUAGCCGGCCUGAGAGGGCGCACGGCCACACUGGAACUGAAACACGGUCCAGACUCCUACGGGAGGCAGCAGUGGGGAAUUUUGCGCAAUGGGGGAAACCCUGACGCAGCAACGCCGCGUGGAGGAUGAAGCCCUUGGGGCGUAAACUCCUUUCGACCAAGACGAUAAUGACGGUACUGGUGGAAGAAGCACCGGCUAACUCUGCGCCAGCAGCCGC